rnacentral:rRNA from 1 species
ACCCUGAUCCAGCCAUGCCGCGUGUGUGAAGAAGGCCCUCGGGUUGUAAAGCACUUUCAGCGAGGAAGAACGCCUAGCGGUUAAUACCCGCUAGGAAAGACAUCACUCGCAGAAGAAGCACCGGCUAACUCCGUGCCAGCAGCCGCGGUAAUACGGAGGGUGCAAGCGUUAAUCGGAAUUACUGGGCGUAAAGCGCGCGUAGGUGGCUUGAUAAGCCGGUUGUGAAAGCCCCGGGCUCAACCUGGGAACGGCAUCCGGAACUGUCAAGCUAGAGUGCAGGAGAGGAAGGUAGAAUUCCCGGUGUAGCGGUGAAAUGCGUAGAGAUCGGGAGGAAUACCAGUGGCGAAGGCGGCCUUCUGGACUGACACUGACACUGAGGUGCGAAAGCGUGGGUAGCAAACAGGAUUAGAUACCCUGGUAGUCCACGCCGUAAACGAUGUCGACCAGCCGUUGGGUGCCUAGCGCACUUUGUGGCGAAGUUAACGCGAUAAGUCGACCGCCUGGGGAGUACGGCCGCAAGGUUAAAACUCAAAUGAAUUGACGGGGGCCCGCACAAGCGGUGGAGCAUGUGGUUUAAUUCGAUGCAACGCGAAGAACCUUACCUACUCUUGACAUCCUGCGAAUUUGGUAGAGAUACCUUAGUGCCUUCGGGAACGCAGAGACAGGUGCUGCAUGGCUGUCGUCAGCUCGUGUUGUGAAAUGUUGGGUUAAGUCCC